GGGAUGGACGCACCGCUGGUGUACCAGUUGUUCUGCCAAGGGCAUCGCUGGGUAGCUAUGUGCGGACGGGAUAAGUGCUGAAAGCAUCUAAGCAUGAAGCCCCCCUCAAGAUGAGAUUUCCCAUAGCUCUAAGCUAGUAAGAACCCUGAAAGAUGAUCAGGUUGAUAGGUCAGAGGUGGAAGCGUGGCGACAUGUGGAGCUGACUGAUACUAAUCGUUCGAGGACUUA
rnacentral:rRNA from 1 species